AACCCUCCGUUCGUCGUCGUCGUCAUUCAUUACGAAAGAGCAGAGAAACAUUGUAGAUCAGAGAGAGAGAAAGCAAUGGCGGUUGGGAUUCGGCUAUGGAGCUGCAUCUUCUUUGCCUUAGUGAUAAUCUGCUCCGCUCGCAACAUCAUCCCUCUUGUUCCAGGGGACGAUGAGAUGGCGGUGGUUGUUACAGGAGGAAGGUACCUGAAAGCCAACACCGACGACUACAGAGACCCUUCGGCGAGCCACGAGCACGAUCCCCGCAACAGAAUAGGUAGCGGCAACGGUGGCAUUCGGAGGAAUGGAGAAACUCCAUGACCACCAACAACAACUCCACACCGCUGUACUACGAAUUCUGCUACGUAUAUUAUUAAACAUAGAAGUAAAUACUUGAGAGGUUUUGGACUUUGGUUUCCCAAAACCCUAAUAAAGAAAGGGAAAUAUGCUCUCGUUUUGUAUGCAAGGGGGCUGUCACCAUUGCUAUUACUUAUUAAGUAUUUGAGAUGUGUGCGCUCCAUCGGGCCGAGUAUGUUAUAUGCAUUGUUGUUUGUUGGUAGGCUCUUCAGAUUUUUAUUUUAUAUGACCCAGACCGACCACUCGACCAGUCUCUUAUCUCAUUGUUUAACAGCUUAAUUACUUAUAUGGAGUCUUGUAUUAACUAUCCGUUUCGUCUA